rnacentral:rRNA from 1 species
CCUGGUUGAUCCUGCAAGUAGCAUAUGCUUGUCUCAAAGAUUAAGCCAUGCAUGUCUAAGUACACAUGGCCGGUACAGUGAAACUGCGAACGGCUCAUUAAAUCAGUUAUGGUUCCUUUGGUUGCUCCAACCAUUUCUUGGAUAACUGUGGUAAUUCUAGAGCUAAUACAUGCUGAUGAGCGCUGACCUCUGGGGAUGCAUGCAUUUAUCAGACCAAAAACAACCUGGGCUCGCCCAGCUGCUUUGAUGACUAGAUAACCUUGGGCUGAUCACACGUCCCCGUAGCGGUGAUGAUGCAGUCGAAUGUCUGCCCUAUCAACUUUUGAAGGUACUUUCUGUGCCUACCAUGAUGACCACAGGUAACAGGGAAUCAGGGUUCAAUUCCAGAGAGGGAGCCUGAGAAAUGGCUACCACAUCCAAAGAAGGUAGCAGGCGUGAAAAUUACCCAUUCCCAACCUGGGGAGGUAGUGAUGAAAAAUAACACUACAGGACUCUUUUGAGGCCCUGUAAUUGGAAUGAGUACACUUUAAAACCUUUAACGAGGAUCUAUUUGAGGGCAAGUCUGGUGUCGGCAGUCACGGUAAUUCCAGGUCCAAUAACAUAUAUUAAAGUUGCUGCAGUUAAAAAGCUCAUAGCUGGAUCUUGGGAUUGAGCUGGUGGUCUACCAUGAGGCAAGCUACCGCCUGUCCCAGCCCCUGCCUCUCGGCGCUCCCUUGAUGCUCGUGACUGAGUGUCCUGCAGGUCCAAAGUGUUUACUUUGAAAAAAUUAGUGUUCAAAGCAGGCUGAUCACUGGAAUACUCCAACUAGGAAUAAUGGAAUAGGACUCUGGUUCUAUUUUGUUGGUUUUCAGAAGUGGGGCCAUGAUUAAGAGGGACGGCCGGGGCCAUUCGUAUUGUGCCGCUAGAGGUGAAAUUCUUGUACUGGCGCAAGACAAACCAAAGUGAAAGCAUUUGCCAAGAAUGUUUUCAUCAAUCAAGAAUGAAAGUCAGAGAUUCAAAGACUAUCAGAUACUGUCGUAGUUCUGACCAUAAACAAUGCCAACUAGUGAUCCAGUGGCAUUAUUCCCAUGACCUGCUGGGCAGCUUCCAGGAAACCAAACUUUUUGGGUUCUGGGGGAAGUAUGGUUGCAAAGCUGAAAUUUAAAGGAACUGAUGGAAGGGCACCACCAGGAGUGGAGCCUGUGGGUUAAUUUGACUCAACACAGGAAACCUCACCUGGCCCGGACACAGAAAGAAUUGAAAGAUUGAUAGCUCUUUCUUGAUUCUGUGGGUGGUGGUGCAUGGCCGUUCUUAGUUGGUGGAGUGAUUUGUCUAGUUAAUUCUGAUAAAGAAUGAGACUCUGGUAUGCUAACUAGUUGUGCAACCCCUGAGCAGUCAGCAUCCAACUUCUUAGAGGGACAAGUGGAGUUCGGCCACCUGAGAUUGAGCAAUAACAGGUCUGUGAUGCCCUUAGGUGUCCAGGGCCGCCUGUGUGCUACACUGACUGGCUCAGCAUGUGUCUACCUUACACCAAUAGGUGCGGAUAACCCGUUGAACCCCAUUUGCAAUGAGGAUUGCAGUUAUUUCCCAUGAAUGAGGAACACCCAGGAAGUGCAGUUCAUAAGUUCAUGUUGAUUAAGCCCCUGCCCUUUGUACACACCUCCCAUCGCUACUACUGAUUAAACGGUUUAGUGAGGUCCUCAGAUCGGCCUUGCCGGGGUUGGUCAUGGCUUUGGUGGAGUGCUGAGAAGAUGGUCAAACUUGACUAUCUAGAGGAAGUAAAAGUCAUAACAAGGUUUCCGUACAUGAACCUGUGGAAG